CAGCCAGGACCCUGCAGCUGGGAGAGGAGCCCCAGCCCCUGGAGUCCCAGGUGUUCCCAUUCUGUGAUCAGGACAGAACACAGACAUCUCACCAUGGACUUUGUGCUUGGCUGGGUUUUCCUUGUUGCUGUUUUAAAAGGUGUCCAGUGUGAGGUGCAGCUGGUGGAGUCUGGGGGAGGCCUGGCGAAGCCUGGAGGCUCCCUGCGACUCUCCUGUGCAGCCUCCGGAUUUGACUUCAGUAAAUAUACCAUGUGCUGGGUCCGCCAGGCUCCAGAGAAGGGGCUGGAGUGGGUCUCAUAUAUUAGUACUAAUGGAGGCACAAGCUAUGCAGACUCCGUGAAGGGCCGAUUCACCAUCUCCAGGGACAACGCCAAGAACACAGUCGAUCUGCAGAUGAACAGCCUGAGGCCUGAGGACACAGCCACUUAUUUCUGUGCGAGAGACACAACGACCAGCUCCAUGGACAGCCUCACUGGUGGAGUAGUUGUGAGACUGGAGGUGGACAGUUCCCCAGACAGCCGUGUGCAGGGUGGCCGGGUAUCCAGAGGUGCACAAACCUUCACAGGCAUGCAGCACCUGCGGGCAAGGCAGCAGAGACCAGGGGAAGAGAAGUAG